rnacentral:rRNA from 1 species
GAUGAACGCUGGCGGCGUGCCUAAUACAUGCAAGUCGAGCGAACAGAUAAGGAGCUUGCUCCUUUGACGUUAGCGGCGGACGGGUGAGUAACACGUGGGUAACCUACCUAUAAGACUGGGAUAACUUCGGGAAACCGGAGCUAAUACCGGAUAACAUUUGGAACCGCAUGGUUCUAAAGUGAAAGAUGGUUUUGCUAUCACUUAUAGAUGGACCCGCGCCGUAUUAGCUAGUUGGUAAGGUAACGGCUUACCAAGGCGACGAUACGUAGCCGACCUGAGAGGGUGAUCGGCCACACUGGAACUGAGACACGGUCCAGACUCCUACGGGAGGCAGCAGUAGGGAAUCUUCCGCAAAGGGCGAAAGCCUGACGGAGCAACGCCGCGUGAGUGAUGAAGGGUUUCGGCUCGUAAAACUCUGUUAUUAGGGAAGAACAAAUGUGUAAGUAACUGUGCACGUCCUGACGGUACCCAAUCAGAAAGCCACGGCUAACUACGUG